rnacentral:rRNA from 1 species
GUAAGGAAUAUUGGUCAAUGGGGGCAACCCUGAACCAGCCAUGCCGCGUGAAGGAUGAAGGCGUUAUGCGUUGUAAACUUCUUUUGUAUGGGAAGAAUGACAGGGAUUUAUCCUUGGAGAGACGGUACCAUACGAAUAAGCACCAGCUAACUCCGUGCCAGCAGCCGCGGUAAUACGGAGGGUGCAAGCGUUAUCCGGAAUCACUGGGUUUAAAGGGUACGUAGGCGGUUAAUUAAGUCAGUAGUGAAAGACUGUCGCUCAACGACGGAUGUGCUAUUGAUACUGGUUAACUUGAAUCAGGUUAGAGUUGGCGGAAUGGGUCAUGUAGCGGUGAAAUGCUUAGAUAUGACUUGGAACACCGAUAGCGAAGGCAGCUCACUAAGGCGAUACUGACGCUGAGGCACGAAAGCGUGGGGAUCGAACAGGAUUAGAAACCCGGGUAGUCC